AGUCGAGCGGAUCUUCAUUAGCUUGCUUUUGAAGAUCAGCGGCGGACGGGUGAGUAACACGUGGGCAACCUGCCUGUAAGACUGGGAUAACUUCGGGAAACCGGAGCUAAUACCGGAUAAUCCUUUCCCUCACAUGAGGGAAAGCUGAAAGACGGUUUCGGCUGUCACUUACAGAUGGGCCCGCGGCGCAUUAGCUAGUUGGUGAGGUAACGGCUCACCAAGGCAACGAUGCGUAGCCGACCUGAGAGGGUGAUCGGCCACACUGGGACUGAGACACGGCCCAGACUCCUACGGGAGGCAGCAGUAGGGAAUCUUCCGCAAUGGACGAAAGUCUGACGGAGCAACGCCGCGUGAACGAUGAAGGCUUUCGGGUCGUAAAGUUCUGUUGUUAGGGAAGAACAAGUACCGGAGUAACUGCCGGUACCUUGACGGUACCUAACCAGAAAGCCACGGCUAACUACGUGCCAGCAGCCGCGGUAAUACGUAGGUGGCAAGCGUUGUCCGGAAUUAUUGGGCGUAAAGCGCGCGCAGGCGGUUCCUUAAGUCUGAUGUGAAAGCCCCCGGCUCAACCGGGGAGGGUCAUUGGAAACUGGGGAACUUGAGUGCAGAAGAGGAGAGCGGAAUUCCACGUGUAGCGGUGAAAUGCGUAGAGAUGUGGAGGAACACCAGUGGCGAAGGCGGCUCUCUGGUCUGUAACUGACGCUGAGGCGCGAAAGCGUGGGGAGCGAACAGGAUUAGAUACCCUGGUAGUCCACGCCGUAAACGAUGAGUGCUAAGUGUUAGAGGGUUUCCGCCCUUUAGUGCUGCAGCAAACGCAUUAAGCACUCCGCCUGGGGAGUACGGCCGCAAGGCUGAAACUCAAAGGAAUUGACGGGGGCCCGCACAAGCGGUGGAGCAUGUGGUUUAAUUCGAAGCAACGCGAAGAACCUU
rnacentral:rRNA from 2 species